UACAGAGGGUGCAAGCGUUGUUCGGAAUUAUUGGGCGUAAAGCGCGUGUAGGCGGCUUGGCAAGUCGGGUGUGAAAGCCCUCAGCUCAACUGAGGAAGUGCGCCCGAAACUGCUAUGCUUGAGUGCCGGAGAGGGUGGCGGAAUUCCCCAAGUAGAGGUGAAAUUCGUAGAUAUGGGGAGGAACACCGGUGGCGAAGGCGGCCACCUGGACGGCGACUGACGCUGAGACGCGAAAGCGUGGGGAGCAAACAGG
rnacentral:rRNA from 1 species